ACACCCCGAAACUAGGCGAGCUACUCUAAAAUAGCAAACAGACCAACCCAUCCCUGUUACAAAAGGGAGGGAAGAUUUUAAAGUAGAGGUGACACACCUAUCGAGCCUAGAGAUAGCUGGUUAUUCAAAAAACGGAUUUAAGUCCAACUUUAAGUUUUUUUAGUAUUACCAAACAACCCCUAAACUUAAAAGCCAUUCAAAUAAGGUACAGCCUAUUUGAACAAGGAGACAACCUAUAACACAAGGUAAUAGCCAGACACGUGAUUAAGUGGGCCUAAAAGCAGCCAACUUCCAAAAAGCGUCCAAGCCUCACCACUAAUACUACUAAUUCCACUACCCACACACAACCUGCAAUCAACACUGAAUGACCCCAUGCCCACAUGGAGAACAUUAUGCUAGAACUAGUAAUAAGAAGAUGAACUUCUCCAAAAUGCAAACAUGGGCCAAAAUGAACCCAUCACUGUCACCUACCGCUACUUCAACCCACAGUAUUAAACCACAAGAAAAUUCUACUAUGCUUAGCGUCAACCUUACACCAGA
rnacentral:rRNA from 1 species